AGAUAUGUGGGCUGUAAUGUUGGUAGUUUUCUGUCAGGCUCUAGGAGACAAGCCUAACCAGAGGUUUUAUUUGGGGAUUUUAAAUUUGGGAGCUGAACUAAGGCUCUGAGCCAUUUCUUCUUAUGACAGUGGGAGAUCCUAGGUUGGUUCAUUUCACUAACAUGGGACUAGAAAAGCAAUAAAUUUGAUCAUUUCCUUCUUAUGCCUGAAGUAAGUCAUGCCCUAGUGAUCUUAGUACCACAUCCCUGAGAAUCAGGAAGUCAUGAGUUCCAUGCCUACUGAUCCUCUAUGACCAUGAGCAAAGGAGGACAACUAUAAUACUGUCAGAAAGUGGACAUCAGUACUACUGAAAUUAUUUUGCCCUUGUCUGCUCAGUUCCCUGCUGGCCAAUGACUUAGUCAAGCAUAU